rnacentral:rRNA from 1 species
UACGGAGGGGGCUAGCGUUGUUCGGAAUUACUGGGCGUAAAGCGUACGUAGGCGGCUUUGUAAGUUAGAGGUGAAAGCCCGGGGCUCAACUCCGGAAUUGCCUUUAAGACUGCAUCGCUUGAAUCAUGGAGAGGUGAGUGGAAUUCCGAGUGUAGAGGUGAAAUUCGUAGAUAUUGGGAAGAACACCAGUGGCGAAGGCGGCUAACUGGUCCAGAUCUGACGCUGAGGUGCGAAAGCGUGGGGAGCAAACAGG